CAUUGACUAAAGGGACAUGAGGUUG
rnacentral:piRNA from 1 species